AUGUGCGUCCCUCCCCAAGAACCACAACCCCAGGGCUUCUUCGAACAGUGCGUAGUAACGCACUUCCACCUCCAGACCCCACACUCGACCACGCGCCUUCAGCCCCCAACCCCAGGACCACGUGGAGACAGAUCCGCAUUUGCAACAAGCGGCGGCGGCGGCGGCGGCGGCGAGGAGCCCGAGCAGGGAAGCUUAGCGAGGUCAUUCGCUCGCAGUCCGCGUUGCUCCCCCGCAACCCGGAGCUACGCACCCAAGCCGGCCCGCUGCCGGAAGUAGAAACACACAGCUUUGUCUGAGUUUAGAAGGAGCAACUGAGGUGGGUAUUAGAGAAUGGGUCUCAAAGGUUUUUCAGGUAUGACUAAGCAGGAAGAUACUUAGGGCUGGGUUCCCCAUCCCUUACCUCACCCCCCCACCCCCAAACCUCCUAUCCCAGAACAAGCAGGUGUUUGUGCUCAGAGUUGACUUGAAAGGAUGACUGAGUGAAUUGCAGUUCCUGGCUGGGAACUUGGGGGAGGGACAGGGCAGAUGGUCCAGAUUUCAUAUGAGUUGGGCUCUCAUUUAGCUGAUUAAUUUUGUUUAGUUUUUAACGGAAACCUGUGGUGUAAUAUAAGAUUCUAAUCACUGUCUAAUUACAAAGCAGGAUAAAUCACCAAACAACCUUGUUUAAAAGUAUCUCAAAAUCUGAAAUGUUAUAAAAUAGGAUAAUUACCAAUAGGGCAGAGACCUGCUGUAGAGAGAAUUUCCCCAGGGCAAAAGGAUGAGGGGGCUUCAGAAUCCAUUGAGAUUUGUUUACAAAACAUGUU
rnacentral:lncRNA from 1 species